UACGGAGGGGGCUAGCGUUGUUCGGAAUUACUGGGCGUAAAGCGCACGUAGGCGGCUUUGUAAGUUAGAGGUGAAAAGCCCGGGGGCUCAACUCCGGAAUUGCCUUUAAGACUGCAUCGCUAGAAUUGUGGAGAGGUAAGUGGAAUUCCGAGUGUAGAGGUGAAAUUCGUAGAUAUUCGGAAGAACACCAGUGGCGAAGGCGACUUACUGGACACAUAUUGACGCUGAGGUGCGAAAGCGUGGGGAGCAAACAGGG
rnacentral:rRNA from 1 species